rnacentral:rRNA from 1 species
AAAGGAAUAGACGGGGACCCGCACAAGCAGCGGAGCAUGUGGUUUAAUUCGAAGCAACGCGAAGAACCUUACCAGGGCUUGACAUCCCUCUGACCGGCGUGUAACGGCGCCUUCCCUUCGGGGCAGAGGUGACAGGUGGUGCAUGGUUGUCGUCAGCUCGUGUCGUGAGAUGUUGGGUUAAGUCCCGCAACGAGCGCAACCCUUGUCAUUAGUUGCCAGCAGGUUAAGCUGGGCACUCUAGUGAGACUGCCGGGGAUAACUCGGAGGAAGGUGGGGAUGACGUCAAAUCAUCAUGCCCCUUAUGUUCUGGGCUACACACGUGCUACAAUGGCCGGUACAGAGAGAAGCAAUACUGCGAAGUGGAGCAAAACUCUAAAACCGGUCCCAGUUCGGAUUGCAGGCUGAAACCCGCCUGCAUGAAGUCGGAGUUGCUAGUAAUCGCGAAUCAGAAUGUCGCGGUGAAUGCGUUCCCGGGUCUUGUACACACCGCCCGU